rnacentral:misc_RNA from 1 species
AUAGACUUGAAGCUGAUCCAUUGAAGAUUCAAAACAUUAGUCCUUUCCUCGGAGGGAACAAGAAGUUAAAAAAAUAAAAUAAAAAUGAAGGGAUACAAGGCUAGUAAAAAAGAAGCAUCAUGGGAUGCAAAAAAAGCAGUUGCGGAAGCCAUGUCUUCUGUGGUACCAAGCCUGUUAAGUAACGUAUUUUGCUCAAUGGCCUUCCUCAUGGCGUCAUUUUUUGUGAUGAAAUCCGCAAAAUGUGUUGGUACAAACCCAGGAGC